UACGUAGGGACCAAGCGUUGUUCGGAUUUACUGGGCGUAAAGGGCGCGUAGGCGGCAAUUCAAGUCAGCUGUGAAAUCUCCGGGCUUAACUCGGAACGGUCAGCUGAUACUGCUUUGCUAGAGUGCAGGAGGGGCAAUCGGAAUUCUUGGUGUAGCGGUGAAAUGCGUAGAUAUCAAGAGGAACACCUGAGGUGAAGACGGGUUGCUGGGCUGACACUGACGCUGAGGCGCGAAAGCUAGGGUAGCAAACGGG
rnacentral:rRNA from 1 species